rnacentral:lncRNA from 1 species
GAUGACUAAAUCAAUGAUUUAGGCGGUCAAUUGAUCGGAUCAAGAUUAACUUAAUCAUAUUGAUUUAUAUAUAUGAAUUGGCUUCCAAGGCACAUUGGGCUUGGACCCUUUGGGAUUUUAGUUUAAAGGCUUAAUUACACUAAUGCUCCUUAAAACUUCAGUCAAAUCUCAUUUUGCACCCCAAAACUCAAAAUGGCCCACUUUCA